UACGGAGGAUCCAAGCGUUAUCCGGAUUUAUUGGGUUUAAAGGGUGCGUAGGCGGCCAAUUAAGUCAGAGGUGAAAACUUGCAGCUCAACUGUAAGCGUGCCUUUGAUACUGAUUGGCUUGAAUAAACUAGAGGUAGGCGGAAUGUGACAAGUAGCGGUGAAAUGCAUAGAUAUGUCACAGAACACCAAUUGCGAAGGCAGCUUACUAUGGUUUAAUUGACGCUGAGGCACGAAAGCGUGGGGAUCAAACAGG
rnacentral:rRNA from 2 species